GAUGAAGAACGUAGCAAAAUGCGAUACUUGGUGUGAAUUGCAGAAUCCCGUGAACCAUCGAGUCUUUGAACGCAAGUUGCGCCCGAAGCCAUUAGGCCGAGGGCACGCCUGCCUGGGCGUCACACGUCGUUGCCCCCCCAUCUACUCCUUCGGGAUUGCGGGGGGCGGAUGAUGGACUCUCGUGCGCCUCGUCGCGCGGUUGGCCUAAAUGCCAAGUCCUCGGCGACGCACGCCACGACAAUCGGUGGUUGCGAAACCUCGGUUGCCUGUCGUGUGCGGUCGUCGCGCAUCGAGGGCUCGAAAAAAUUGCCGGGCUUCGGCUCGACUUUCAACGCGACCCCAGGUCAGGCGGGGUUACCCGCUGAAUUUAAGCAUAUCAAUAAGCGGAGGA
rnacentral:misc_RNA from 1 species